GUUCUGUAGCUCUGGGAUGGAGAACGCGUCCCACUGCAGGAACAGCAAAGCAGAGGCAAACAAGGCACGAGCAGCCCAUUCAGCUGAUAAGUUUGGGGAACAGCUGGAAUCAAGCAACACUUUAGGAGGUAAAACCAACAGCGUUAGAAGGGGGAGAAGCCUGGCUCAUGCCUGCUGGGCAUCUGCAGGUCCAUCCCAUUGCCAAACACUACGUGGUCAUGCACUAACCAAGGGAAGGAGCCCCAGACGUACCUCCACUUCCCCGGUCUCGUUCUCCUUCAGCACAAAGCUGAGCACGUCGGUGUCGGGGCCGGCCAGCAGCCGCAGCGCGAACUUCUGUGGGUUAUCCACCACCAUGAACUUCUUCAGCAGCCCCUGGAUCACCUCGCUCACCGUGGUCGUGCUGCUGAUGUGCAGCUGCUUGAUGGCAUCCAGAGGCAGGUAGAAGGAUGUCCUCCUAUCCGUGGUGUCCGCCAGGUUCACCUCCUUGAGGGCAUCGUAGAUGGACUGCGGUCGGAUCCCCGCCGGCACCGUCACCGGGCGGCGCAGCUUCAGGUGCACCUUAAUGAAGCCGGUGUAGGUGCCAUCAUCACUCUGCACAAUGA
rnacentral:lncRNA from 1 species